rnacentral:rRNA from 1 species
UACAGGGGGGGCAAGCGUUGUUCGGAAUUACUGGGCGUAAAGGGUUCGUAGGUGGCCAACUAAGUCAGACGUGAAAUCCCUCAGCUUAACUGGGGAACUGCGUCUGAAACUGGUUGGCUUGAGUGCAGGAGAGGAAUGCGGAAUUCCAGGUGUAGCGGUGAAAUGCGUAGAUAUCUGGAGGAACACCGGUGGCGAAGGCGGCAUCCUGGACCGACAUUGACGCUGAGGCGCGAAAGCCAGGGGAGCAAACGGG